rfam:Gossypium arboreum cultivar AKA8401 contig_43024_1, whole genome shotgun sequence.
AACCCAUGGUGAGGGAACCUUAUCAAUAGGUCCUUGUAUCUCUGCCAUGCAUCACAAAGUGUUUUUAAAUCCAUCUACACAAAAGAAGAAAUAGCAUUCCUUAGUUU